rnacentral:rRNA from 1 species
UACGUAGGGUGCAAGCGUUAAUCGGAAUUACUGGGCGUAAAGCGUGCGCAGGCGGUUGUGCAAGACAGAUGUGAAGUCCCCGGGCUUAACCUGGGAAUGGCAUUUGUGACUGCACGGCUAGAGUGUGUCAGAGGGGGGUAGAAUUCCACGUGUAGCAGUGAAAUGCGUAGAUAUGUGGAGGAAUACCGAUGGCGAAGGCAGCCCCCUGGGAUAACACUGACGCUCAUGCACGAAAGCGUGGGGAGCAAACAGG